CGGCGGACGGGUGAGUAACACGUGAGUAACCUGCCUUAGACAUAGGGAUAGCCUCGGGAAACCGGGAUUAAUACCAAAUGAAAUCACAUAUGCACAUGCAUAAAUGAUCAAAGCUCCGGCGGUCUAAGAUGGACUCGCGUCCCAUUAGCUAGUUGGUGAGGUAACGGCCCACCAAGGCGACGAUGGGUAGCCGGCCUGAGAGGGUGAACGGCCACAUUGGAACUGAGAAACGGUCCAAACUCCUACGGGAGGCAGCAGGC
rnacentral:rRNA from 1 species